ensembl:lncRNA
GAGACGGGGAAGGGCACACAGGCUCCCACCCCUAACCCGGAAGCUAUCUGCAAUCAACCUCACUGAACCUUCCCCUAUUUUAACUGGUCAGAUAAAGGCUAGAGCCUGUGAUUGGGCAAUGGAAGGGAAAGGCAGGGCUGGAGGUUUUAGAGAGUGGGGAAAGAAAGGAAGGCGGGGAAGACGGAGGGAGAGAAGAGGGAAGUGAAGUUGGAGCAGAACCAUCUGGCCCGGAGAAGCCGCAAGUAACAAGGGAUCUCAGAGCUGGGGAAUAGUAUAGAGGUGAAUCUGCCCAAUCUAGGUGUGCAGCUUAUAAAUUCUGUAACCGAGUUGUGUGGUUUUGCAGGGACAUAUUGGGGCAAUUUACCACAACGAUUAACGCCCAUCAUAUCGAUUAGAACCCAACUAACAUAAAAGUCCACUGCCUCUCCCCACACCCUCAAUACUCCACUGGGGCAACAAUCUAAGGCUGCAGCAAUGUGUGGAUGGAAAGCUGACUGGGUCUGAGGUGCCUAUAGAGAGAGCUGCAGAGAGGCUCCUCCCCCAAGUCCAGGGCAGGCAGUUACAGCCAGGGGCAGCAUCCCAGACUGGAGCUGGACUUAGGCAUUGCUCUAUAGGAUUCCCAGGAAGGGACAGGGGACCCUGGAGGGCAACUGCCUGUGAGGAAUUCUUCGGGCAGACACAGAGCUAGCUGACCAGGGCUUCUACGCCUGAGGAAGCCUUUCUGUGCUCGCUCCCCGUAUCCCCCGAGUCAACACUGAAUACAGGACAGCCAGACUGGCUUUCCCAACUGCUUGCGCUGCAGGCGCCUGAGAUCAGCACACAAGCACAUGCUGCCAGCUGCAACCCAAACAAAAGAGAGUCAGCUUAGAAGCACAGAAGACUGGGGUUUUCUGUCAACCUCUCCCUGCAAAUAAAAGAAUCAGAGGACUGCAUUGUCCUGAAUCGAACAGUAGGGGGAGAUAAAGGUACAAAGGGCUCCGGAGCAGGGCCCUAAAUAAAAAAUUAUGUGCCUUAGAAAAGAAAUUAGAGGAAACACUAGAGAAGUUCAUAGAUGAGACUGAGAAACAGAGAUAAACUUCAGACUUGGCAACACCGCCUGGAGGAAACACUACAGCUAAAGGUUCAGGAUUGUAUAGGUCAAGAUAAGCAACAGAAAGAGGAAAAUGAAGGUUAAAGACAGGAGGUGGAAGACACACUAGGAAAAAGGAUUCAACGGUUCACAGAUAAGACUGAACAGCAAGGAGGCAGAACUAAAAUUUGGAAGCAAAGUCUAGAGAACAAAUUACUAAGGCUAGUAAGUCAAAGUCAGGAAGAGGCUACCAUAUCAGAAUUACAACAUAAAGAGAAGCAGGGCCUAGCACAGAAGAUACAGGGAUUUACAGAGCAGCAUGAACAACAGAGAGAGAAAUUUAAGACUUGGCAACGUGGCCUAGAGGAAGCACUAGGAUUGAAGACACAGGAAAUUAUAGAUCAAAUACGAGACUAAAGGAUGAAGAUGAAGGUUACAGACACGAGCUGGGGAGGACACUAGAAGGAAAGGUGCAGCAGCUCACAGAUCAGACUGAGAGGCAGCGAGAAGAAAAUGAGGAUUGGAAGCAAGGCUUGGAGAACCUUUUAAAAUUAAUCAGUCAGAAUAAAAUGGACAGCAGAAUAUCAGCGUUACAAUAUAAAGAAAAGAUUAAAAUGUGGAGGCAGAAGCUGGAACAGAGAAUACAGGAACUCAGGGAACAGGAGGGGCAACAAAAGGAGAGAGGUGAAGCAUGGACAUAGACAUUAAGGGAGGAAUUUAAAAUCUCAAUUAAGGAAAACACUCAGGUAGAGACAGAAGAUAUUAAAGAAAGCCAACUGUCUUAGUUAGGGUCUUAUUGCUGUGAACAGCCACCAUGACUAAUGUUUUAUAAGGGACAACAUUUAAUUGGGGCUGGCUUACAGGUUCAGAGGUUCAGUCCAUUAUCAUCAAGGUGGGAGUGUGGCAGCAUCCAGGCAGGCCUGGUGCAGGAGGAGCUGAGUUCUACAUCUUCACCUGAAGGAAGCCAGGAACAGACUGAACAUCUCUGAGCAGCUAGGAGGAGGGUCUCCAAGCCCACCCCCACAGUGACACACUUCCUCCAAGGCCACACCUUCUAAUAGUGCCACUCCCUGGACCAAGUAUAUGCAAACUGUCACACCAACCCAAGGCUGUUAGAAAACAAACUUCAGUGAUCCAGUUAGUGUACAACAAAGACCUCCAGAUGAUGAUCAUCCACAGGGUUAUCAGGAACUCAAAUGGCAACCUGUGGAUGUGUUAGAACUGAGGAAAUUUGAGGAAAGUCACUAAUUUUGGAAUGCAUUCGCCAUUUGAAAAUCGAUUCUUGACUUCUUGGGCAAUAAUCGAGUCUUUGGCUUUUAAAAGUGCAGAUGCUGGAUAUAAGGAAGUAAUCAGACCACUGACAGCAAGGGCAGUAUCCAUGGAUGAGUGGGUUAGACACAGAGCUAAGGUUAGACCUCCUACACCUGAUAUGACUGUGAUAGGAGAAGCCACCACAAAAAGACCAAGAGACAACACAAGACUUCAAAUGUUCUCACUGUGGUGAGCAGGGACAUCUCAGAAUAAACUGCAUGGGAAACCAAAAUUAAUAAUUAAUUAAACCAAAUUAAUUCCAAAAAGUGGGCCUAUUUCUUCUGGAACAGUAAAAGAUGUGGCAAGGCUGAAUGUAGAGCGACAGCAGACAAAUGGAGCAACGCCAUAACAAAAAUUCCCAGGAGGAUGGGGCUGGGGAUUUAGCUCAGUGGUAGAGCGCUUACCUAGG